UACGACAUGAUGCUAUGGAAGUAACUGAAAUAUACUAGUCUUGCCGUGCCUAUGUCG
rnacentral:pre_miRNA from 1 species